UCGUUUCUUAUGCAACCCAAUUUUAAAAAUAGCACAGAAUAAUCAUGUGAUAUUGAAGUUAACGAAUUUACAUGAAUUAUCUCUAUUAUGUAAGAAAACUGUAUAGAUAGUUAAAUUUCAUACAAUGUAUGUGAAUUUUUAAAAAUCGAAAAGCGAAUAUAAAAGACAGCCAAAAUAAUCGAAUUUCAUAACAACUGCCAUCAUGCCACCUGGUUGGGAACCACUUGAAAUGUUCAUUCUCUUCGUUGUUUCAUAUCUUGCAAAUGGAAUUACAAAGUUGCUUCAAAGCUUCUCUCCCUUAAUUAAAGCGGUUGGAGGCGUUGGUGGGCUUCCAAUAGGAUAGUAACUAUAAAUGAAAAUCAUGCUCAAAUUCUAACAUCUAUGUCUACAUCAAAGUAGAUUUGACUGUGAAAAAAAUAAAACAAUUGUAACUAAAAA